rnacentral:tRNA from 1 species
GCACUCUUAGCUCAGCUGGAUAGAGCAACGGCCUUCUAAGCCGUAGGUCACAAGUUCGAAUCUUGUAGAGUGCA